rnacentral:piRNA from 1 species
GUAGCUUAUCAGAGGCGCUGACUCAAGGG